UCACCCACCAAUAGGGAACGUGAGCUGGGUUUAGACCGUCAUGAGACAGGUUAGUUUUACCCUACUGAUGAUAGUGUCGUAAUAGUAAAUCAACCUAGAUUCACCCAUCAAUAGGGAACGUCAGAUGGGUUUAGACCAUCGCGAGAUAGGGUAGUUUUACUCUACUGAUGACAGUGUCGCAAUAGUAAAUCAACCAAGUACGAGAGGAACCGUUGAUUCACACAAUUGGUCAUCGCGGUUGGUUGAAAAUCCAGUGGCACGAAUCUACCGUGGGCUGGAUUAUGACUGAAUGCCUCUAAGUCAGAAUCCGGGGUAGAAUUGACGCAUGCGCUCGCCGUCUGCGUGCCGACCCACAGUAGGGGCCUUUGGCCCCCAAGGGUAUGUGUCGUUGGCUAAGUCAUCGCGGCGGAGGAGAUGCAAUGGCCGGCUUGAAGUAAAAUUUCCAUCGAGCGGCGGGUAGAAUCCUUUGUAGACGGCUUAAGUACACGACGGGGUAUUGUAAGUGGCAUAGUGGCCUUGCUGCCACGAUCCACUGAGAUUUAGCCCUUUGUCGCUCCGAUUCCUCCCUCCCCCUCCAAUCCUAUUAUUUCUAACUUUUCUGAUAAUAGGUUCACUCUUACCUUGAUGCUAUAUUAUACUAAGUGUUUGAAAAAUCGAACAAGUCCUCAAGACCUUGGAACGUAUGUUAUUUGUGCAUUAAGUCGAAAAUCGGACUUGACACUUAGUCACGUCGAGGGAAAUACCAAACCAAAAUACACUACUAGAGGCUUUUUAGGGUGUCGCUUGAGAGGUCAAGGCCUAUGCCAAAGUUUUUCGGGGUGUCUCUUGAGAGGACAAGGCCUAUGCCACGAGCGGAAGGCGUGGCCAUGGCAUGAGUUAGGACAUCCCAGUACAUGGCAGGGCGUGGCCAUGGCAUGGGCCAGGACGUGUCAGUACGUCGCAGGAUAUGACAGGACACGGGCGGGACGUGGCAGGACGUCGCAGAACAUGGCAGGGCGUGGCCAUGGAACGAGUCAGGAUGUGUCAGGACAUGUAAGACAUGGCCAUGGCACGCGUCAGGACGCGUUAGGGCGUGGCCAUGACAUGAGUCAGGACAUAGCAGGACAUGCAGGGCAUGGCCAUGGCAUGAGUGAGGACAUGGCAGGACCUGGCAAGGCGUGGCCAUGGCACGAGUCAGGACGUCGCAGGACGGGUCAGGACAUGGCCAUGGCACGUGUCGGGACGCAUGUAGAAAUGGCAGUGGCACAUGUCAGGAUUUGGCAAGGCGUGGCCAUGGCAUGAGUCAAGACGAUGCAUCACGCGUCAGGACAUAGCCAUAGUACAUGUCAGGACGCAUCAGGACAUGGCCAUGGCGCCUGUCAGGAUGCGUCAGGACAUGGCAGGGUGUGGGCACGGCACGAGUCGGGAAGUCGCAUGACAUGGCAGGGUGUGGCCAUGGCACGAGUUAGGACGUGUGACGACGCGUCAAGACAUGGCCAUGACACGUGUCAGGACGUGUCAGGACAUGGCAUGGCGUGGCCAUGGCACGAGUCAGGACAUCGCAAGACAUGGCAGGGCGUGGCCAUGGCACGAGUCAGGACAUCAGAGGACAUGGCAGGGCGUGGCCUUGGCACGAGUUAGGAUAUUGCAAGAUAAGGUAGGACAUGGCAGGGCGUUGCCAUGGCACGAGUCAGGACGUCGCAGGACGCGUCAGGACAUGGCCAUGGCACGUGUCAUGACGCGUCUGGACAUGGCCAUGGCACGUGUCAGGACACGUCAGGACAUGGCAGGGCGUGGCCAUGUCACAAGUCGGGAGCAGGACAUGGCAGGGCGUGGCCAUGACACGAGUCAGGACGUCGCAGAACGCAUCAGGACAUGGCCAUGGCACAUGUCAGGAUGCAUCAGGACAUGGAAGUGGCACGUGUUAGAAAACGGCAGGGCGUUGCCAUGGCAUGACUCAUGAUGUCGGAGGACAUGGCACGAGUCGGGACAUCGAAGGACGCGUCAGGACAUGGCCAUGGCACGUGUCAGGACGAGUCAGGACAUGGUAGUGGCAAGUGUCAGGAUGCGUCAGGACAUGGCAAGGCGUGGCCAUUGUAUGACUCAUGACGUCGCACGACAUAGCAGGGCAUGGCCAUGGCACGAGUCGGAACAUCGCACGACGCGUCAGGACAUGGCCAUGGUACGUGUCAGGACGCGUCAGGACAUGGCCAUGGCCAUGGCACGUGUCAGGACGCUUCAAGACAUGGCCAUGGCCAUGGCACGUGUCAGGACGCAUCAGGACAUGGAAGGGCGUGGCCAUGGAACGAGUCGGGACAUCAUAGGACAUUGCAAGGCAUGGCCAUGGCACGAGUCAGGACAUAGCAGGACGCAUCAGGACAGGGCCAUGGCACGUGUGACGACAUGGCAGGGCGUUGCCGUGGCACUAGUGAAGACGUCACAGGAUAUGGCAGGGCGUGGCCAUGGUACGUGUCAGGACGCGUCAGGUCAUAGCUAUGGUACGUGUCAGGACGCAUCACGACAUGGCCAUGGCACGUGUCAGGACGCAUCAUGACAUGGCCAUGGUACGUGUCAGGAUGCGUCAGGACAUGGCCAUGGCACGUGUUAGGAUGCGUCAGGACAUGGAAGGGCGUGGCCAUGGCACGAGUCGGGACGUCACAAGACAUGGCAGGGCAUGGCCAUGGCACGAUUCAGGACGUCGCAGAACGCGUCAGGACAUGGCCAUGGUACGUGUCAGGACACGUCACUACAUGGGCAUGGCACGUGUCAGUAUACGUCAAGACAUGGCAGGGCGUGGCCAUGGCACGAGUCGGGACGUCACAAGACAUGGCAGGGCGUGGCCAUGGAUGGAGUCAGAACGUCCUAGGACGCAUCAGGACAUGGCCAUGGCACGGGUGACGAAAUGGCAGGGCGUUGCCAUGGCACUAUUCAAGACGUCUCAGGAUAUGGCAGGAUAUGGCCAUGGUACGUGUCAGGACAUGGCCAUGGCACGAUGUCGCACACAGCCACACCACGUCGCUCCAAGAGGCACCGAUUCGCACCACGUAUAUUGCUAGCCAAUGCUUAGAAACAGGUCAAGCACAAUGAUGUUGGUGAUCGUUGGCGGCGGAUGGAAAGUUGGGGUAGUUCGAGCAGUAGCGUCCGGCAACGGUCGAUUGACGCUUGGUGGUUGGCGGUGGUUGCUUCAAAUCCUAAUCACUUGUUGUGGUUGGUCAACAUGUCAAGGGAAAUGAUGUUGGUGUUCGUUGGUGGCGGUGGUGGAAAGUCGUGGUGGUUCGAGCGGUAUCCACUGUCGACGGUUGGUCGACACUUUGUGGUUGGCGGCGACUUUUUCAAAUCGGAAUCCCUUGUUGUGGUUACGACAAUGGAGGUGCCUCGUGCUUAAGUGUGGUUGGUCAUCUAUACUCUUUUAUAAUUAUUUUUCCUUUUUUUUUAUAUACUUUUUAGUAAGUUUUAUGCAUUUUUUGUUAUUUUAAAUUAUUUUAUGUCACUUUUCAAUAAAAAAAUUUAAUCUUUUAUAUGUAAUGUAAUACUAUUACAAGAUGUAUUGGAAUUUUUCUCCAUCAUUGUUUCUAUUUUAAUAAUAAUUUUCAUAUUUUUUAGAAUUUUAUUAAGUAUUUUUCGUUUUCAAAUAAAAAUAUUUCAAAAAAAAUAUUUUUUUUUUGUAAAAAAUAUUAUUUACAAUGUUUAAAAGUCAUUUGUGAAUAUAUUAGCCAAGUUGUACUUUUUUUUAAAAAAAAUUUAACAGUUAGCUUUCAUUGAUAUCAAAAAGGUGUACAAUGAAGAGCUUGUAGUAGUAGUAUGGACUAACCACUACUUUCCAGUUCAAACACUAUACAAAUACAUGAAUUUGCAAACCUAAAGCUAAGGGUAAUGGUUAAGUUGUCGCAGUCCAGCUUGCUAACGCUUACAGUUUCUGCCGCGAAUAUGAAUAAGCAACGCAACGUCGCGGCAUAACAAGUUCUCCUCUAAUGCUUUAACUUCAAAUCUAAUAUAGUUCAUGUUUCUCCAAAUAAGUGCAAUAGUGAUCACAAAGGCAGAAGCAGCAACAGCCUUGUGCCACAGUUUACUCCUAGCUUGACAGCAGAUCCAUUGGAGUUCAGCUUCGAACUACCAAUUGUUCUGUUGUGGCCCAGCCAGCAACAUAUUCUAAACCACAGUGGAUUAGUGACUGGGCAUUCAAAAAACAAAUGAGCAAAUUCAUCUACAUGUUUAUUACAGAAUACACAAUUCACAGACACGUGCACUCCAAUCUUCUGUAAUCUCUCGACAGUAGGCAGUCGACGUUGAGCAGCAAGCCAAGCAGUGAAUUUAUGUCGAGGUAGGACAUUAGUGGUCAGCAGCAAAUUCUUCCAUUCCACCUUAGGAAAGAUCGGAAGCAUUACAUGAUAUAGUUUCUGAAUAUGGAAUUUGCCUAGCCUACACAAUCCAUACAGUCUAAGUAAGAGAUCACCUUGCAGUUGUUGAUUAUCCAGAAGAGGAGUUCUGCAAUCUAAUAUGUUUCUAACUAUCCAAGAUACUGCCUUGGGAAUUGGCAUUGUAGCAAUGUCAUGGUUCUUAAUGUAAUAGUAGUGUAUCCAUUUGAUCCACAAACAAUCUUUCUUCCUAACCAAGUCCCAAAGAGCCUUGGGAAUGGGCAUUGUAGCAAUGUCACGGUUUUUAAUGUAAUAUUCGUGUAUCCAUUUGAUCCACAAACAAUCUUUCUUACUAGCCAAAUCCCAAAGGAGAUUAGUGAUAGCUGCCUUAUUCCAUAUAUGCAUGUCUAUAAUGUUAAGUCCUCCAGCAGUGACUGGUCUACAGACCCUUUCCCAGGCAACCAGAGCUCUUUUAGAUAUUGUUGUACUUCCAGUCCACAGAUAAGAUCUUCAUACAGCUUCAAUGAUUUUCAGAACUUUCUUUGGCAGGAUGAAUACUUGUGCCCAAUAAGUUUGAAUACCAAUAAUAACAGUUUUGAUCAAUUAACAUCUUCCUGCAUAAGAUACUAAUUUGGUAGACCAGCAAGUGAUUUUAUCAGUUAUCCUCUCAAUCAGUGGCAAGUAAUGGUGGAUGGCAAGCUUCUUUGAGUGAAGAGGUAUCCCUAAUUAUUUGAAUGGUAGUUGACCAUCAAUGAAUCCCAGAUACUCUAGUAUGAGUUAUUUGAUAUUCUGAUGAACCCCAGCCAGAUAAACAACACUCUUAGUAUUGUUAGCAUACAGUCCAGAAGCUACAGAGAAUGUAAGGAAAGCAUCAUGCAGAAUCUGGAUAGAAAUGAUAUCAGCUCGACAGAAUAGGAGAAGAUCAUCAGCAAAACAGAUAUGGGCACAGUUCAGCUUCCUGCAUUUUGGAUGGAAGUUAAAAUCUCCAUUACUGUGUAACUGAGCCAUCAGCCUAUUUAAGUACUCCAUAGCCAGAAAAAACAAAAAAGACAGCCUAUUCAAGUACUCCAUAGCCAGGACAAACCAAUAAGGUGACAUGGGAUCUCCUUUUCGAAUACCCCUCCUAGCAGUGAAAGGCUUAGUGAGACCACCAUUCAACACUAGUGAGUAAGUCAGAGAAGUGACACAAGCCAUUGUCCAAUAAACAAAGUUUGCUGGGAAUCCAAGAUCAAUGAGUAGUUGUUUGAGGAAGCUCCAUUCAAGAGUGUCAUAUACCUUCCUCAAAUCCACCUUCAUAACACAUCUACGAGACACACCUUUUCUGGAAUAACCCUUGAAAAUUUCAUGGCUAAGCAAAAUAUUAUCAAUGAUGCUCCUCCCUUCAAUAAAGGCUGAAUAGGCUUUUCAAACAAGAUCACCAAUCACAGAUUUCAGUCUCCUAGUAAUGACUUUGGAUAUAAUCUUAUAGACAGUGGUGCAGAAGGCAAUAGGUCUAUAAUGUUUCAUUGUUUUAGGAGUUUUAACUUUAUGCACAAGAGCAAUAGCAGUAGUAUUGACCAUGUGAGACAGUUAGCCAAGUUGUUCUUUGGUUUGUGCUAUUUGGUGUUCUACAUGUCUAUUGUGAUUCUCUGGCAAAAACAUGUCUACUCCUAAAACUUGGGUUUUUCUUAAAGCAUAUAUAAGGGGGGUAGAGGUGUUGAGAGGCACCUCAAGUGCUUGCUGCCAGGACGGGGCGGGCAUGCAUGGGGGACGUUGGCAUGGGGGGUGGGCAUUGGGGCAUGCACGGCUUGUCCUUGGUACGUCCUCGAUGUUCCCAAACCGCGCCGGCAAGUACUCGUGUGGGCUCUUAGUACUCCUGGUGGUGGCACCGCUCGUGGAAAACAAUGGCUUUUGGCCUUUGGAUGUUGCUGGCAAAAUCGGGAGGCGACAUUUCUUAUGGAGGUUGAUGGCUUUUAACAACAGAACGGCAGGGCGUCGUGCAAGUAGCGCUGCAAUGUUCUGUGCGCAUGGGGCGAAGCUUAGUAAGUUGUUGAUUGCCAUUAGUUGUUGUGGGUUGUGUCUGGAAUCUCUCGUGGUGGCUGAUGGCUUUAGACAAUGAACGGUGGAGCGUCGUGCAAGUAGCGCCGCAACGUGCUAUGCGCAUGGGGCGAAGCUCAGCAGAUGUCGAUUUCCAUCGGUUGUUGCGAGCAACAUUGCUCAUGGCAGUUGAUGCCUUUUGGCAACGGAAUGGUGGAGCAUCGUGCAAGUAGUGCCGUAAGGUGCCGUGCCCACGGGGUGAAGCUCAGUAGAUGUUCAUUGCCAUCGGUUUUUGCGGGAUACAUCGGGAGGCGACAUCGCUCAUGGCGGCUGAUGGCAUUUAGCUAAUAAAAGGGUAAAGCAUCGUGCAAGUAGCGCCGCAAGGUGCCAUGCACAUGGGGUGAAGCUUAGUAAGUUGUCGAUUGCCAUCGGUUGUUGCGGGCAACAUCAGGAGGCAACAUCGCUCGUGGCGGCUGAUGGUUUUUGGCAACAAAAUAGCAAAGCAUCGUGCAAGUAGCACCGCAAAUGGUGUGCACAUGGGGCAAAGCUUAGUAAGUUGCCGAUUGCCAUCGGUUGUUGCGGGCAACAUCGGGAGGCAAAAUCACUCGUGGCGGCUGAUGGAUUUUGGCAACAAAUGGCAAAGCAUCGUGCAAGUAGCACCGCAAGGUGCCGUGCUCACAGGGCGAAGCUUAGUAAUUUCCUCAUUGCCAUCAGUUGUUGUGGAAAACAUCGGAAGGCGACAUCGCUCGUGGCGGCUAGUGGAUUUUUGCAAAGGAACGACAAAGCAUCGUGCAAGUAGCACUGCAAGGUGCCAUGCACAUGGGGCGAAGCUCAGUAAAUUGACUAUUGCCAUCGGUUGUUGUGGGUUGUGUCUGGCAUUGUUCAAACCCCCUAUUUGUGCUUUGAGGGGCUUGUCUUGGCUUUGCAAUGUUGGCAUCGAAAACACCACAUGGCUGCGCAUUACGUGUUGGAGCUUGUGUUGGCUUUGUAUCGGCUAGGCAAGUGUACGUGCGGCGCAUGAGUGGUGUUUGGCUUAUGUGGAUAGGUUGGAUCCCUGCUCGAGCAGCAACGUCCUAGCUCGCGUGCCAUCUCAGUCAUGUCUCAAGAGCAAAUUACGCUUGUUCGACGUCGGUAUUCUGUGUUGCAUACCUAACGCCAAGGCAUUAUCAAGCACAAUUGGUCGCCUUUUGCCCCUCGCGUUCGACGUGCGGGGAGAACCAAAUGCUGCAUUUGUGUCCCAGGUCAUCCUGGCUUUGCCUAGCGAUGGCUCGGUCCAUGACUUCUCAUGCUCGGGCUCUCGGAUUUGGUAAACGUAAUGGGCACGGGUCUUCAUUGGCUCCUAUCUUCCCAAAGAAUUCUCCUUACGAAUGAUGGUCGUGCUUGCCUUGUACUUGGUCGUGCCCUUUUGGGUCGGCCACGCUCAUGCGACGCCCGCGUCAAUGAGGAAUGCUACUUGGUUGAUCCUGCCAGUAGUCGUAUGCUUGUCUCAAAGAUUAAUCCAUGCAUGUGUAAGUAUGAACAAAUUCAGAUUGUGAAACUGCGAAUGGCUCAUUAAGUCAGUUAUAGUUUGUUUGAUGGUAUCUACUACUCGGAUAACCGUAGUAACUCUAGAGCUAAUACGUGCAACAAACCCCGACAUCUAGAAGGGAUGCAUUUAUUAGAUAAAAGGUCGACGCGGGCUCUACCCGUUGCUGCGAUGAUUCAUGGUAACUCGACGGAUGGUAAUUCUAGAGCAAAUACGUGCAACAAACCCCGGCCUCUGGAAGGGAUGCAUUUAUUAGAUAAAAGGUCGACGCGGGCUCUGCCUGUUGCUGCAAUGAUUCAUGAUAACUCGACGGAUCGCAUGGCCAUCGUGCCGGCGAUGCAUCAUCCAAAUUUCUUCCCUAUCAACAUUCGAUGGUAGGGUAUGGGCCUACAGUUAGACCCCUGACAAUGACCCACGCCAGGAGUGGGUUGUGACAACUAUUUUCAUGAUGCACUUGUUGUACAACCUGAAAAUUAGGGCAACAUCAUGACGGGAAGCUCGGCGUGACGGACUAUGCAGGGCAUGACAAAGACACCUUGGACAGAAUCAAGGCGCAUUUUACUUAGACAUGCGGGUUGCCAAAGCAAUUGUGCGGCAAAACCAAGUCAAGCAAGGGCGAGGACCUGGUAAGACAAGGAAAGACAAGGCGGGAAAAUCAAUGGCAAUGGAUGUGGGCAAAUGACUUAGCAACGGGAAUGACAUCAAGGCUUGGUGACUUGAUGCUAAAAUCAGCAUUGGCAUUGGCAACGGGCAGACUUGAUCAAGUAGGGGCGACUUGACAAGAANNNNNNNNNNNNNNNNNNNNNNNNNNNNNNNNNNNNNNNNNNNNNNNNNNNNNNNNNNNUGGUGAUUUGAUGCUAAAAUCAGCAUUGGCAUUGGCAACUGGCCGACUUGAUCAAGUAGGGGCGACCUGAUAGGAACAACCAACUGUGGCAGCAAAUGGGCGGGCGGCAAAUUCAUGGGCGACGAGCUAUGGCGAUGGCAUUGAGCGGAGCAGUGUCAAAGGCCAAGGCUGGGCGCAGUGCCAGCCUUAGGCGUGCGGCAGCUAGCCGACGCGCACAUGCAGCUGCAUAUGGAGCGGUUUUCAAGUGUGUUGUGCACAUGAUGUAGUUGGGCGGUUACAACCUCCCAAGACAUGCUGAUAAUGGCCUAGAAAGUAGGAGGAGCAGUUGGUGGUUACAACCACUCCCUAAACAUGCAGAUCAUGGCCUAGAGGAGCAGUUGGCGGUUACAACAACUCCCGAAACUUGUUGAUCAUGGCCUCGAAAGUGUGCCCACGUUUUUAUUCAUGUCAAGUGAUUUUAUCCUAUAAAUAUGUGCCUAUGUAUAGCCAAAAGGGGCAAGAACUUAGCCUAAGGAAAUUGUGCAAAGCCAAAUUAGUCUAUGUCACUUCCUAAGGGUAGGAAGUUCGUUUUGGGCAGGAAAUUGGGGAAUUCUUUGUCUUGGCCAUAGGGUUGGCUUUUGGAAACUUACUUUGGGGCAAGGAAUUGGGGAAUUCUUUGUCUCAACCAUAGGGUUGGAUUUUGUGUUCUUGUCACUUUAUUAAUACAAGUUGGGAAGAAAUUCCUGUAAUCUCGUGUGUCUCUUACUGUUUUCCGCUGCCUAUUUUCAUUCUAAAUUCAAAUCGUCCAAAAAUUAAACUAAGUGUUGAAAAGGCUGAGUCAAGUUGGUGCUUGAAUGCCGCACGGAGAUGAACCUCGGCUAGAAUUACGAGUGGUUAAAAUCACCCCUAUGAAAAUUAGUAUCAGAGUGUGGUUGGAUCGGGGCGACGACACAAUUUUCACUGGUUGAAUUUUAUAAAGAAUGACUGGUGGCAACACAGAACUAAGGGAAAAUGUUGUUGCAUUAGAGGCACUUGUCAGAACUACUGACGGGGAUCAGUUUCUAACUAUCAUGACCCGUCUUUCUUAUCUCGAGGGCGAGUUAAACAAACUGAGCCAGGACUGCAUUGAUCUGAAAAUGGAAAACGGGUGACUGCGUCGUGCUGUUGGCAAUGAGGAAGCACAGCGUAGGGCAGAUCCUAACAAGGUCAGAAUUCUAGAGCCUAAAGAUUUUAGUGGCACAAGGAGUUCCAAGGAACUCGAAAAUUUCCUGUGGGAUAUGGAGCACUAUUUUCAAGCUGCCA
rnacentral:lncRNA from 1 species